GGUGAACGCUGGCGGUGGGCCUAACACAUGCAAGUCGAACGGCAGCACAGUAAGAGCUUGCUCUUACGGGUGGCGAGUGGCGGACGGGUGAGGCAUACAUCGGAAUCUACUUUUUCGUGGGGGAUAACGUAGGGAAACUUACGCUAAUACCGCAUACGACCUACGGGUGAAAGCAGGGGAUCUUCGGACCUUGCGCGAUUGAAUGAGCCGAUGUCGGAUUAGCUAGUUGGCGAGGUAAAGGCCCACCAAGGCGACGAUCCGUAGCUGGUCUGAGAGGAUGAUCAGCCACACUGGAACUGAGACACGGUCCAGACUCCUACGGGAGGCAGCAGUGGGGAAUAUUGGACAAAGGGCGCAAGCCUGAUCGAGCAAUGCCGCGUGGGUGAAGAAGGCCUUCGGAUUGUAAAGCCCUGUUGUUGGGAAAGAAAAGCAGCAGGUUAAUACCCCGCUGUUCUGACGGUACCCAAAGAAUAAGCCCCGGCUAACUUCGUG
rnacentral:rRNA from 1 species